rnacentral:rRNA from 1 species
GUAACAAGGUCUCCGUUGGUGAACCAGCGGAGGGAUCAUUACCGAGUUCUCAGCAGCUCCCAACCCGUGUGAACCGUACCCCCCUUCUGUUCUCGUUGCUUCCGGCGGGGGCCCUCCAGGCUUGCUUGCCUGGGGCGCCCGCCGGGGGCGGCCUGCCCCUGAACCUUCUACAAGAAAACCCGUCUCCGGACUGUCUGAGUGGAUUUCUAGCAAAUCAAAUCAAAACUUUCAACAACGGAUCUCUUGGCUCUGGCAUCGAUGAAGAACGCAGCGAAAUGCGAUAAGUAAUGUGAAUUGCAGAACUCAGUGAAUCAUCGAAUCUUUGAACGCACAUUGCGCCUGCCAGCAUUCUGGCAGGCAUGCCUGUCCGAGCGUCAUUUCCCCCCUCACGAGCGCCUCGCUGCGCCCCGUGGUGUUGGGGCCCUCGGCCGCCCUGGCGCGGCCGAGGCUCCUAAAGCGAUUGGCGGGCCGGCCGGUUGUAGGCUCCGAGCGCAGUACAAGCUUCGCCCUGGACGCCGCCGGCGGGCGCCCUGCCGUCAAGACGACGAGCGCUGACGCGCGACCUCACACACAAGG